rnacentral:SRP_RNA from 1 species
GCUGGGCGUGGUUGUGCAUGCUUGUAGUCCCAGCUACUCAGGAGGCUGAGAUGGGAGGAUCACUUGAGCCCAGGAGGUUGAGACUGCAGUGAGCUGUGUCACACCACUGCACUGCAGCCUGGGCAAUAGAGUAAGACCUUAUCUCAA